rnacentral:lncRNA from 1 species
AUGCAUCCUUUCAUGCUCAACUCCAUAUUAUAUUUACAAAUAUCAAGAGUACUCAUUGCCAAACAUUUGCAUGGAACAUGCGGGAACCAUCAUGAAGGCUUUAGCUGCAAAGAUUGCACUCAUGGAUACAACAAAAGGGACAUGUGUGACAUCUGCUAAGGGACACAACCUAAUUAUAUGGUAAGUCAUCACUGAGCUUAACUAUUGUUCAAACACCGUGGUAAAGAAAUUAGAAUUUUCUGCAAAAGAGGACUAUGACCAACGGAAUAUGCCAUUUUCUGCAGAUUUGGAAAGGGGACUAUGACCAACUUAUAUAUGACCAACGAAAUAUCCCAUCCACACCCCAGCAAUAUGCCAUUUUGUUCAAUUUAAAAGGGGACUGAUAUCACUGAGCUUAUCCAGCCCACGGAAUAUGCCAUUUUGUUCAAACACCGCUGUAAAGAAAUUAGAAUUUUCCCCUGCAAGUAGAAGUGCACAAUUGUUACUUGUCACUAAAAACGCUAACUAUUGUUAAUGAAAAUGCAUAUUAUUUAUUGUACAAUAUUUUACAACAGCACUUCCAAAUCUGCACCUAACCAUAUAUCAAGUAUUGUUCCUAACAAACUACAUUACAGUAAAUUCCGCCACUCCAUUCUGAACCUAUAUCAAACUACAGUACAAUAAUUUCUGAACCUAUAUCAAACUACAGUACGGUAUUUUCUGAACCUAUAUCAAACUACAGUACAGUAUUUUCUGAACCUAUAUCAAACUACAGUACAGUAUUUUCUGAACCUAUAUCAAACUACAGUACAGUAUUUUUUGAACCUAUAUCAAACUACAGUACACAUUGAUCAUAACAGGAUAAUGCACAGGGGAGCACACAACGACAUCACACAUUGAUCAUAGGCCCAAGCAGGCAUAUUUACGUGGAUGAGGUUCAUGAGCACAUCAGACGAUAGACUACAGAGCACGAACAGGUAGACGUCAACAGAUUGCAAAGCUCGUUUACAUAUAAGCUAAAUGUGCUAUUAUUUCUAGUGAAAAACCAUGAUAUUCCAAUUCCUGUUUGUAAUGUUAAAUACUAAUUAAAGAACUGUGGGGCAGUGCUUCAAAACUUUAAAUUGCAAAAGCAAUAAACCUGGGAAGCAAAGCCUCCAGGACAUGCAUAGGAGGACAACUCACAUCAAAAAUAGAAUAUGACCUUUUAUGCUAGUCAACCAGAAGGCCAAUUGAAUAUACGUAAUUAAUUGCUAUCAAGAGAGCCAAAGCAACACAUGGAUUUCAUUUUUUUAUUGGAUGAAGCGCAUAAUGUAUACUGUAUAAACAAAUUCAAAGUUCAGUUAUGGUCAACCAUACCUUGAUACAAGUAGGUCUAAUAUUGCAAACUGUAACCGCGAUGUCGACAAAAUAAGCUGCACAUCGAGCACUGAAAUAUCAUCUGCACAUCAGAGACCUUGCAGGAUGCUCUAUCCAAUUUGUUGUGAGUCCAGAAUAUGCUCUUUCUUAAGAUUAAAAUCAUAUAGAUAAAAGAUGUACAAAACAACAGACAAUCAAAACCCAGUGCUAGAAGUAAGGCUCCUCAUAGUAAAAAAAAUCAUGUUGAGCAAAUCUUGACCUUUCAGGAUGCUCUAUCCAAGUUGAGAGAUAUUUUAAAGCAGUAAAUGGUGUUUGGAGUAGCACUUGACAAUGGCAUAGGAAUGCUCAUGUGUACAAAUUUCAUGGUAAUUAGAGAAAGUAGCAAAGCUCAGGUGCACAUGGGUCCACAACACCAUAUUGCAAAUCAACCAGAGUAAUAGACAUCAUUACUUUGGAUAACCUAUAGCCGAGUUACAUUGGAUACGGAUGCUACUGCAGUGAAAAUCUUAGUAUCACACCAUUGUUGACAAAAGAUAGGAGGGGCUACUACUGCGUCAUUAUAUUAUUUAUAAGCAAAAAUUUACAUGAGUAAUUCUAAACUCUUAGCUGCCCACAAUCUGAAUUGUCAACAGCCAUAUUCAAUUCCCUUUGAUAACCUAAAGACACCAUGCCCAAUGAGAAGAAGACAAAUGAGAUUAGAGUGCAAGUUACUGAAUCAUAUAUAGGAUAAACACCUCCUGAACCUGUUUUUUCUGAGUAGGGGCCCGCCUCACCUUGUCGUUGUAGCCUACAGGUUGGCGCUUGGGGGGGAGGGGGGGGGGCAUGGAGAGGCCAGGGAUGUGGUUCUCCUGUUGCAAGCGCCGAUUGGAGAUGCAGCAGGCCAAGGGGCUAGCAGCAUCUCACUUCUUCCUCGUCUUUUUUUGGUGGAGACCAAGCCUCUCCUUCUCCUAAGCGCCGUGUAACAGGGGGAGCACGCACCAACGAUCCUCGAGUGCAAUAAAGAAGGAAUGAGUUAGGCGAGAUAAGCAGGGGUGAGGGCGUUAUAUACUGCCAAUUUUUGGAGCAAAGAUAAGCCGAAACUAACAGCGUCAGAUCAACCAAACAUCCAAAACAUCUGAACCUGAGAUGACAACCCAGAGAUCCACAUUCCGUAUAUACUGCCAAUAGUAAAACUAUCCAUCAAACCCAAAUCAGUCACUUAUCAAGCAAAAACAAGCCAAGACUAACUGCAUCCGAUCACCAGAUGCCAUAACACCCAAUCCAACAGCUGCCACAAUAACAAAGAGAUCCCCACUCCGUAUAUUUCACUAAUAUACAAACAGUUGUUAUGUCCAGUUGACCGUUUCUAAAGCAAAGUUAAGUUGAAACUAAAAGCAUCAGACAACCAAAACACCCCAAAUUCCAUAACCUGAGAUCCCAUGGCACCCAGUCCAACAGUGAACCAUCUCAUGAACCUAAUUAAGUAGUGUAUAUAUGAACCUAAACAACAUGACAUAGCUGAACAACAACACGAAUAGCAGCUGCAUGCGGAUCCAAUUGAUAUAUAGUAAACAAAAGGCCCAGAAAAAAAUCACCUCCAGAGGACGUCUCCAAGGAGCAUCAAGUCGCCAUCCUUGUCUCCGUCCUGCUCACCGUCUCCACGAAACUCAUCUCCUUGUUCCCACACUUGCCUGGCUCUGAGAUUCAAAUCGUCAGAAGCCCACCAGAAGAGCAACGCAUCGCGUGCUCGUCUCUGCGGAGCAACGACGCGAUUAGCGGUCUACACAGUCUUCCCAACGGGGAGAGCAGCGGCGUCGGUGGCGGCGAUGGGUGAAAAAGGGAAGGAAAGGCGGUGGGAGCGCGACAAAUCUGAGGCGGCUCACCUCGGUUUGCCCUCUUCCCGGAGGAGCACGAACUUGAGGACACGCUCCGGUCCUCCUCCCGUUGAUGGCGAAGCAGGAGGACGGGCGGCAGCAGUUGGUGGUCGAUCUCCUCUUCCACCGCUACCCGUUGCCCCUCCACAACCCGAGGGCCGGUGGUGAGGAACGAGCACGACGGGGAGAGCGGCGGCGGUGGCAAGCUCGGCCCGACGCGGAGCAGUAGUGGCCGUGUUGCUUCUCGGAGGGCGGCGGCGCGAGGGAAGGCAACGAAGAGAAGGGGAGGGGGCGGCGGCGGCAACACGAGAGAGAGAUGCGAGGGAGAGACGCAGCCCUACCUGUCUCACCGAUUGGGGAGGGAGCAACCAAUGGUGAGAAGCCACUUGGC